AUGCAUGUACGCGAUGCAUGCACUACUCGCCUUGCCUCGCGGUUCUGCUGCUCCGCUGCGCCGCGCCGUCCACUGCAGGAAUCGCAAGCGCCAUCGCUGUUCAGUGCCAGCAUUCUCCUUCCCCUCCGCGUCUGCGCGCACCGGGUGUCCCGCCGCCUGGGUUGGCCUCUGCUCCGUUCCACGAGCACGCGUGCGCACGCUGCCGUCCGGCUCGUAACCGCCCGCCGCGUUGGCCCUCCGCCCCGCUCGGCCCGUGCGUGCGCACCGCCUCCUGCCGCGCUGGCCCUCCGCUCCGCCGGACAUCCCAGUGCGCCUCUCCCUCUGCAGCUCCCGGCCAGCUCGCCCAGCCGCCUACCAUCCAACUCGCCGCGUGCCUCCGGCAAGCCGGGCCCGGCCUCCCGUGCCGUCUCCGCUAGCGGGCCGACUUGCCGUUCGCCGGCUCCUGUGUCAGCCUGCCGGCCGCGUGCCGCCUCCCCUCGCCGCGUGCUCCUGGCCAGGACGCGCUUACGCUCCUGCGCUGGCCGACCUUACACCCCGCUGACUAACCUCCGCAUCCAGCGCCGGCCCCGGACCGGCUCCCCAUCGUCGCCCAGCCACCUCCCGCGCGCACGCCGGCUGAUGCACCGGAUCCGGCCGUCCUCACCAUCCGAUCGCGCACGCCCCGGUGCCAGACCUCGCCCUGGCCUCGCCACUUUGCCCGCGCCGCCCCAGCUCCGCGGCCUCGCCUCGUCCCUGCGGAGCCCGUUCCGCUUCAUGUGCGCCCGCAGUCGGCCGCACCAGGCUCCCGUCCGGUUGGCCGCUACCGCGCCACCGUUCGGCUUUGGCCGCCCUUCUCUGCGCACUCCUCGGCCGCUUCCGGACCGCCCGUCGCCUGCUGCUCCGCACCCGGCUGUUCCCGUCGCCGCCCCUCCGGUGCGCCGGCUCGCCCAACAGCUGGCUCCUCCCCUGCCGACCUCCACCCGUUCGCACCAGCCGGCCGCGCCCGGCCGGCACGCGCUCCUGCUCCCCAUUGUGCCCCGCCGCGUCCGGCUCCCUGGUGCCGCCCCGCGCCCGGCCGGGUCCGGCUCCGUCCGCCUCCGAACGCCCACCCCAGGCCGGCUGCGGGUCGCUGCUCCAGCCGCCCGUCUUAGCCGACUGUACGAGAAGAGAAAAAGGGUCGUCUGCCCGAUGGCUAGCUAG
rnacentral:rRNA from 1 species